CGGGGGGGGCCAUUUGAAUUGAAUGGGUGGCUUGCACCUGGAUUAAUUUUGGUCGCCAACGAGUGGCGGACGGGUGAGUAACACGUAGGUAACCUGCCCAGAAGCGGGGGACAACAUUUGGAAACAGAUGCUAAUACCGCAUAACAACGUUGUUCGCAUGAACAACGCUUAAAAGAUGGCUUCUCGCUAUCACUUCUGGAUGGACCUGCGGUGCAUUAGCUUGUUGGUGGGGUAAUGGCCUACCAAGGCGAUGAUGCAUAGCCGAGUUGAGAGACUGAUCGGCCACAAUGGGACUGAGACACGGCCCAUACUCCUACGGGAGGCAGCAGUAGGGAAUCUUCCACAAUGGGCGCAAGCCUGAUGGAGCAACACCGCGUGAGUGAAGAAGGGUUUCGGCUCGUAAAGCUCUGUUGUUAAAGAAGAACACGUAUGAGAGUAACUGUUCAUACGUUGACGGUAUUUAACCAGAAAGUCACGGCUAACUACGUGCCAGCAGCCGCGGUAAUACGUAGGUGGCAAGCGUUAUCCGGAUUUAUUGGGCGUAAAGAGAGUGCAGGCGGUUUUCUAAGUCUGAUGUGAAAGCCUUCGGCUUAACCGGAGAAGUGCAUCGGAAACUGGAUAACUUGAGUGCAGAAGAGGGUAGUGGAACUCCAUGUGUAGCGGUGGAAUGCGUAGAUAUAUGGAAGAACACCAGUGGCGAAAGCGGCUACCUGGUCUGCAACUGACGCUGAGACUCGAAAGCAUGGGUAGCGAACAGGAUUAGAUACCCUGGUAGUCCAUGCCGUAAACGAUGAGUGCUAGGUGUUGGGAGGGUUUCCCGCCCUUUCAGUGCCGGAGCUAACGGCAUUAAGCACUCCCGCCUUGGGGAGGUACGGACCCGCAAAGGUUGAACUUCAAACGAAAUUGAACGGGGCCCCCGCCCACAAAGCCGCG
rnacentral:rRNA from 1 species